rnacentral:piRNA from 1 species
UGUCUUUCCAGGAGGUCAAGUGUCCGG